GAUGAUAAAAAGAAUUUUCUUAAUAAAUAAUAUGACUAAAAAAUGAGUCUGCCUCGAGAUUCUUUCGCCAUCAAGGACUAUUAUAGUCGGUCGAUAAAAAACUGGUAAUAUUCCUUUGCCCAAAAGAAAAAGAAGAAAAAAAAAAACAAUCAAGCAUCUAUAUAUAAACAAUCCCUUUUGUUUAAUAUUACUUUACAAAAAGGGAAGCGUGCAUGGUUUGGCCUUAUCCGCGUGUCCAAUGAUUCCCAGGGUCCAGAGUACUGUUCUCGGGGCCUGUACAGUUGCACGUACGAUUUUGGGAAGUGACCAGAUUCAAUGAACCUCAAAUGCAAUCUUCUCGAAUCUCUCCGACCCCAUUUCUCUAUUAAUAUAUGGUUCUUCAUGGGACAGAGAAAGAUCAAAGUGAGACGGAGGGAGAGAGACAACUCGUUUAUGUCUUUGGUCGCCGCUAGCUCCUCUUCCUUUCGGACUUGUUCAGCUUCAACUCCAAUCUUUGAGUUAAAUGUUGGUUGGGAACUCAACACAAACUCUUCAUACGUUUCACUCUGAUCAAUUGGGAAUGAACCAUGUCACAGACCAGUACUGCCAUGGAAGGGUGAGAAAGUUAGGAUGUGAUGGCGCGCGCCGGCAAGAGGACAUGUGCCAUGCAUGGUGGCUGAGGAACAUAUGGCCGGCCUUUAACAAGGCUGUGGGAAAGAUCAUUCGAUGGCUUUAGCAAAUGUCCUCCAAUAUUGGCAAUAAUCAUGAACGUAUUAUAAUACGCGGUAUCUUCUGGUACAUUACUAGGAUCAAUAAACUGCACCGGUGAUGUUCUUGUUGAAGAUCCCGAUCGAGAUCUCGUACUUAAUUACAUUCGGAAGAGUUCCCCUUUACAACUUCAAGUUGGUGAAGCUUUUGUGAUCAUGUAUUGCAGACUGUAGACAUGGUCCAAGGCCGGUCAAUCUGUCCCUUUGUUCUACUCUCCUGCCUCGAAUAAAUCUUAGUGGAAGGAAAACAAAGGGAGCAAUAUGGCGUGGUACUGAUGUGUUCAUCGAUCCGUCCUAUCAUUUCUAGCACAAGAAUCUGCAGCUUGUUAAUUACAGAAGUAGUACUAAUUUGUGAGUGUGUUUUCCUUUCCUUUCAAGGUACGUUGAGAUCACAGACUUCCGGUUGAAACUUGAUGUAUGUCGUAUUGAGAAGUACAGUACUAGAGCUGGAGAUUCUAACAAAUACAAACAAAUUAUAAACAUUACGGUGAAUGAAAUUUCUAAUAUUCCCAUA